UUUCCACGGUCUUCCUUCCAGGUCUCCUCUAGGAAGGGCGUCGCGGUGCCCCUGAACUUAGUUCUGCCGGGUGCGCGCCGACUAAUGACUGUUGGAUGCCUUUACGGUCUUAAC
rfam:Ailuropoda melanoleuca scaffold378_61, whole genome shotgun sequence.